UCCACCUCCACUCAUCCGGCAUCCUUUUGGUCCUGAAGAUCGCAUUGAACAACCUGGAGAGCCACUCUACUCCUGACCUACCCAUGCACUCGUCAGGCCCGGUCGCUCUACACCUACUCAUCUUACGCAAAGCCCCCAUGACCUCCUCCGUCCUAAUGCGCUUGCAGUACCCAAGGUCUCUAUGUUGCUCUGAAUGCCCCAACUCCCCUANNN
rnacentral:lncRNA from 1 species